GAGUUUGAUCCUGGCUCAGAUUGAACGCUGGCGGAAUGCUUUACACAUGCAAGUCGAACGGUAGAGGGGGCAACCCCUUGAGAGUGGCGAACGGGUGAGUAAUAUAUCGGAACGUGCCCAGUCGUGGGGGAUAACGUAGCGAAAGUUACGCUAAUACCGCAUACGAUCUAAGGAUGAAAGCGGGGGAUCGCAAGACCUCGCGCGACUGGAGCGGCCGAUAUCAGAUUAGGUAGUUGGUGGGGUAAAGGCUCACCAAGCCAACGAUCUGUAGCUGGUCUGAGAGGACGACCAGCCACACUGGAACUGAGACACGGUCCAGACUCCUACGGGAGGCAGCAGUGGGGAAUUUUGGACAAUGGACGCAAGUCUGAUCCAGCCAUUCCGCGUGCAGGAUGAAGGCCCUCGGGUUGUAAACUGCUUUUGUACGGAACGAAAAGGUCUCUCCUAAUACGAGAGGCUCAUGACGGUACCGUAAGAAUAAGCACCGGCUAACUACGUGCCAGCAGCCGCGGUAAUACGUAGGGUGCAAGCGUUAAUCGGAAUUACUGGGCGUAAAGCGUGCGCAGGCGGUUAUAUAAGACAGAUGUGAAAUCCCCGGGCUCAACCUGGGAACUGCAUUUGUGACUGUAUAGCUAGAGUACGGUAGAGGGGGAUGGAAUUCCGCGUGUAGCAGUGAAAUGCGUAGAUAUGCGGAGGAACACCGAUGGCGAANGCAAUCCCCUGGACCUGUACUGACGCUCAUGCACGAAAGCGUGGGAGCAAACAGGAUUAGAUACCCUGGUAGUCCACGCCCUAAACGAUGUCAACUGGUUGUUGGGUCUUA
rnacentral:rRNA from 1 species